rnacentral:rRNA from 1 species
GACGAACGCUGGCGGCGUGCCUAAUACAUGCAAGUAGAACGCACUAGCGAACGGGUGAGUAACGCGUAGGUAACUGCAGCAGAGCGGGGGAAAACGAAAGGAAACGAUAGAUAAUACAGCAUACUGUGAGAGGGGCAUGCGUUGUAUUAGGUAGUUGGUGAGGUAAAGGCUCACCAAGGCGACGGUACAUAGCCGACCUGAGAGGGUGGUCUGCCACCCUGGGACUGGGACACUGCCCCGACUCCUACGGGAGGCCGCAGUAGGGAAUCUUCGGCCAUGGACGGAAGUCUUACCGAGCAACGCCGCGUGAGUGAAUGAGGUUUUCGGAUCGUAAAGCUCUGUUUUUAGAGAAGCGGUAACUAACCAGAAAGCGCCGGCUAACUACGUGCCAGCAGCCGCGGUAAUAC